AAGUCGUAACAAGGUUUCCGUAGGUGAACCUGCGGAAGGAUCAUUACAGAAUGCAAUAAGAACGUCUUUGAGACUGCGUCGACUUCGGCGUGUGCUCGGACGGUCAUAUUCUUUCUUAUCCACACACCCUUGUGCACCAAUGGGACGUCAAGUCCCCUUUUUCACACAAAUACCAAGUUAUAUGCAUGUCAUUAAUUACAUAAUAUAUGUAACAACUUUCAACAACGGAUCUCUUGGCUCUC
rnacentral:misc_RNA from 1 species